AUUGAACGCUGGCUGCAGGCCUAACACAUGCAAGUCGAACGAGUGGCGGACGGGUGAGUAAUGUCUGUGAAACUGCCUGAUGUAGGGGGAUAACUACUUGAAACGGUAGCUAAUACCGCAUACCCUCGGAUGUGCCCAGAUGGGUUUAGCUAGUAUGUGGGGUAAAGGCUCACCUAGGCGACGAUCCCUAGCUGGUCUGAGAGGAUGACCAGCCACACUGGAACUGAGACACGGUCCAGACUAAUACGGGAGGCAGCAGUGGGGAAUAUUGCACAAUGGGAGCAGGCCUGAUGCAGACAUGCCGCGUGUAUGAAGAAGGCAUUCGGGUAGUAGAGUAAUUUCAGCGGGGAGGCGUUACCCGCAGAAGAAGCACCGGCUAACUCCGUGCCAGCAGCCGCGGUAAUAC
rnacentral:rRNA from 1 species